UACGGAGGGUGCAAGCGUUGCUCGGAAUCAAUGGGCGUAAAGAGCAUGUAGGCGGCGUGCUAAGUUUGGUGUGAAAGCCCGGGGCUCAACUCCGGAGGCGCAUGUGAUACUACGAGUCUGGAGGACGGACGUGGAGGGUGGAAUUCCUGGGGUAGCGGUGAAAUGCGUAGAUAUGUGGAGGAACACCGGUGGCGAAGGCGGUUAUCUAGUUUGUUCCUGACGCUGAGAUGCGAAAGCAAGGGGAGCAAACAGG
rnacentral:rRNA from 1 species